GACGAACGCUGGCGGCGUGCCUAAUACAUGCAAGUAGAACGCUGAAGGAGGAGCUUGCUUCUCUGGAUGAGUUGCGAACGGGUGAGUAACGCGUAGGUAACCUGCCUGGUAGCGGGGGAUAACUAUUGGAAACGAUAGCUAAUACCGCAUAAGAGUAGAUGUUGCAUGACAUUUGCUUAAAAGGUGCAAUUGCAUCACUACCAGAUGGACCUGCGUUGUAUUAGCUAGUUGGUGGGGUAACGUCUCACCAAGGCGACGAUACAUAGCCGACCUGAGAGGGUGAUCGGCCACACUGGGACUGAGACACGGCCCAGACUCCUACGGGAGGCAGCAGUAGGGAAUCUUCGGCAAUGGACGGAAGUCUGACCGAGCAACGCCGCGUGAGUGAAGAAGGUUGUCGGAUCGUAAAGCUCUGUUGUAAGAGAAGAACGAGUGUGAGAGUGGAAAGUUCACACUGUGACGGUAUCUUACCAGAAAGGGACGGCUAACUACGUG
rnacentral:rRNA from 1 species